AUUGAACGCUGGCGGCAUGCCUUACACAUGCAAGUCGAACGGCAGCACGGGAGCAAUGCUGGUGGCGAGUGGCGAACGGGUGAGUAAUACAUCGGAACGUGCCCAGCUGUGGGGGAUAGCCCGGCGAAAGCCGGAUUAAUACCGCAUACGACCUACGGGUGAAAGCGGGGGAUCGCAAGACCUCGCGCAAUUGGAGCGGCCGAUGUCAGAUUAGCUAGNGGUGGGUAAAAGCCUACCAAGGCGACGAUCUGUAGCUGGUCUGAGAGGACGACCAGCCACACUGGGACUGAGACACGGCCCAGACUCCUACGGGAGGCAGCAGUGGGGAAUUUUGGACAAUGGGCGAAAGCCUGAUCCAGCAAUGCCGCGUGAGUGAUGAAGGCCUUAGGGUUGUAAA
rnacentral:rRNA from 1 species